UUACAAUCAAGGCUUAGGACAUAGUAAUUUAGCUCUUCCUUUACAGAGACUUUUUCAUUGGCUGAAAGAAAAAGAUGGAUUCUUCUUUACUCACACCUAAAAGAUGUUUUUCUGAAUCCUUUAGUAAGAAAAACCGGUGACUCUAUCGUUAACAGAGAGUAGUUGUCAACGCAACUACAUAAGGCUUAUCUUGUGAAAGAUAAGUAAAUUGAGGUGGCACCACGAAUGCGAUUCGUCCUCUUG
rfam:Enterococcus faecalis V583, complete genome.